ACCGGUUCUUCAAUCCCACGUUACCAAGCCACCUGAGAUCCUGUUGGUUCCUUCACCCCCGCCGAUUCAAUCCCUCGCCUCUUCGAUCCCUGCCCCGCCUCUUCGAUCCCUCCCUCAUUCCCGCCGCUUCGAUCCUUGCCCUGCCUCUUUGAUCCCUCCUCUUCCCCAUCUCUUCAUCCUCACCAACUUCCUUUACUCUCCCCUACUCUCUCCCUCAUUCUCAUUCUUCUCCAUCUUUCUCAAUUCUUCUCUGCACUGACUCCCAAUACUCUCCCUCUUUCGGCCCUCUCCCUGCUCGAUCUCUCCGCAGUAAUUGCGGCGCUACCGCUGUGGGUGUGGGCCGCGUGGUAGAGGGUAGGGCGAUGGUGCUGUGGUUGCUGCAGUGGAGGGCGACGCGGGAGCCAUCGGACAGGGGAUGAGGAGAUUAGAUUUGACGAGGAAUGGAGGGGUUGGCGCAGUGGGGGAAUGAGGGGGUUUGAGGGCGAGUCGUCUCCGACAAUGUAAUGAAAGCAACUAUAAAAAAAACGGAAAAAUUACUUGAGGUAUCAAUUGGUGUCACCAUGCAAAUCUUCAAAUUCACAAAAAUGACAACUAU